ACGCGCGCCGCACCCGCGAUUCCCCAUCCACCCACACCACCGCACGCUGCCUCCCACACCCCGCGAUUCCCACACCCCGCGCCGCCGUCCUCCUCCUGCGCCGCCGUCCUCCUCCUGCUGACCCCGCCACCGCCGGAGCCCGACCUCGACGAGCCCGACCCCGACGCCUCCCCUCCUCCGACGAGCCCGACCCCGAUGCCUACCCUCCUCCGACGAGCCCGACCACGAUGCCUCCUGCAGAUCCGCGCCGACUCCACACGCCGCCGUCCUCCUCUACUUCUCCAUCGACUCCUCCUCCGGCCGGCCGGCUUCCGCUGUCGGCUCCUCCCUCUUCCCCAAUGCCUUCCCAUCGCUGCAGUUGAGUCCACCCUCUUCCCCACCUCCUCCGCCGCCUCCUCAACCUCCAGGUUUAGUUUAGUGGUCCACUAUCGAUUUUGCUGCAAUCAACCUACGUUGUUGAGCAUCUACCCAGCAGGACAUCUCAAGAAAAACUUCGUACCACGAAAACACCACUGAAACACAUAAUAAUUUAGGCGACCUGUGAAAUUUGAUUGUCAAUAUCAGCUAUGGAUAAGAGAUGGAUGGACCUUCCUAGGCACACAUCUGAAUACAUACAAGGGGUCAACGAAUUUAUACAAUAUGCUUUUACCCAUUCAGCAAAAGAGAACACAAUACUAUGCCCUUGCAAGAAGUGUGUGAAUGGUUGUUGGAAGGAAGCUAGUGAAAUCUAUGUCCAUUUAAUAUGUGAUGGGUUUUUAGAUGGGUAUAAGACAUGGAUAUUUCAUGUAGAGGCAUCGUCUUCCUUUGCUCAAUAUGGUGAAGCACCAGCCUCUUUUCCUGAGCAAACUUUGAUGAGAUUAUGAGACAAGAUAGUAGUUCAGAGGAAGCUAAUGAGAUGUUUGAUAUGCUUCAUGAUGUUGCUCAUGGAUUAGAUAUGGGGAAUUUGGAUAGAAAUGACGAUGACAAUGUAGUGAUGCAAAUACAUCACUUUAUCUAAGGUGCGAAAGCUUCUCAAAGUUACGCUUUCUAGUCGAAUUACUCCACAUAAAACUUCUUGGUGGCUGGAGUGAUAAGAGUUUUGAUAUGCUUCUUGAUCUUCUUAGAGAGGCUUUCCCUAAGGGCUCAACAGUACCUAAGAGCUUUUAUGAAGCUAGGAAAAUAGUCAAGUGUCUUUCGCUUGGGUAUGAUACUAUUCAUGCAUGCGAGAAUGACUGCGUACUGUUUAGGAAGCAAUAUGCCAAUGCAGAUGUCUGUCCAAAAUGCAAUACUUCUCACAGGAAAACAUCCAAGAAAAGUCUUGAUGGGAAGCGUGUCCAUAAAGUUCCUAGAAAAGUGCUUCGCUAUUUUCCUAUUGAAGAGAGGCUUCAAAAAAUGUUUAUGUCCCCAAAACUUGCUAAUGAUGUACGGUGGCAUGAUGAAGGGCGCACGAAGGAUGGACUAUUGAGGCAUCCAGCUGACUCUCCAGAUUGGAAGCAUUUUGAUAACACAUACCCAGAGUUUGCUGCAGAUAGUCGCAAUCUCAGGCUAACUUUAGCUACUGAUGGCUUUAAUCCAUUUAGAUUAAUGAACUGCAGUUAUAGCAUCUGGCCUGUUGUGAUAAUUCCAAUGAAUCUACCUCCUUGGCAAUGUAUGAAGCAACCAAACUUCAUUCUUUCCUUAUUAAUCCCUGGUCCAAAUUCACCUGGAAAGAAUAUGGAUGUCUAUUUUGAACCACUAGUAGAUGAUAUGCAUGAUAUGUUUGAGGAAGGUGUAAGAACUUAUGAUUCUUCCAAGGACGAAUAUUUCCAGUUGCAUGCUGCCCUACAAAAAACCAUCACUGAUUUUCCUGGGUUAGGUUAUGUCUCUGCAUGUGUAACUUCAGGAAAAGUAGCAUGCCCUCAUUGCCACUCAUAUACUUGUUCUAUUCAUUUGAAAAAUGGAGGCAAGUGUUGUUACAUGGGUCAUCGGAGGUUCUUAGAUGCAAACCACAAGUUUAGGUUUGAUGCAGCAUCAUUCGAUGGCAAUGUGGAGUUAGGGACAGCACCGAAGCCUCUGACCAGAGAAGAGAUUUUUAAGCAAACAGAAGAUCUACCUGCAGAUUUUGGAAAGGACCCAAAGAAGAAAAAAACCAAACCAAAUAGUAAAGGCAAGGAAACAGAGGAAAAAAUAAUAUGGAAUAGGAGAUCUAUCUGGUUUAGGUUGCGAUAUUGGAAGGAUGUGAUGCUUCCACAUAAUUUUGAUGUAAUGCACAUUGAAAAAAAUGUAUGUGACAACAUCAUCAACACACUAUUGGGUAUCGAUGGGAAAUCUAAAGAUAAUCUGAAUGCUCGAUUGGAUCUUAAACUUCUAGAUAUACGGAAAUAUUUGCAUCCUGUCGAAGUUGGGGAUUCUUAUUAUUUGCCUCCUGCACCUUUCUCAAUGAGUUCUGAAGAGAAGAAAUUGUUUUGUGAAGUUCUGAAACGAAUCAAAUUUCCUGAUGGCUAUGCCUCUGAUAUUCGCCGGCAUGUACAUGUUAAAGAGAAAAGGAUAAUUGGUCUGAAAAGUCAUGACAACCAUAUCCUCUUACAACACUUGCUUCCACUAGCAGUACGAAAGACAUUGCCAGAAUAUGUUAGUGCAGUAUUGGUUCGUGUGAGUAACUUCUUUAAGAAAAUAUACUCACCUGUUAUUUCCAUAAGUGAUAUGGAAAAGUUAGAUGCUGAAAUUGCUGAAACAUUAAGCCUUCUAGAGACUAUAUUUCUACCAGCCUUUUUUGAUAUUAUGGUUCACUUAAUGGCUCAUCUUCCUACCCAAGUAAGGAUUUCUGGCCCAGUUCAGUACAGCAACAUGUAUCCAAUAGAAAGGUUUCUAAUGAGGUUAAAGGGAUAUGUACGCACCAAGAGUCAUCCUGAGGGAUCAAUUGCUGAAGGCUAUUUGUUUGAUGAGAGUCUUACAUUUUGCUCUCGUUAUUUAGAAGGAUGUGAAACUAGGUUCUCUCGAAAAUCCAGAACUAGUAUAGAUAAACCAAGCUCAAUUACCAUGCCAUUCUUCUACAACAACAUUGGUCGGGAUUUGUCUGGAAAGUGCAUGGUGACCUUAGACUACAUGGCUCCAAGCACAUAGAUAUGUCUUAUUUAAUUAUGAUCAUAUAGAGCCAUACUUGAGUCCAAGUAUACUAUGUUGAAGACCCAAGUGACAAUGGUUGGAGUGCUGUUAUUGAGACAAAACCAAGAGACUUCUAUGAUAUGGCUAAAGUACAAACUGAAAGUUCUGAUCACGAAAGUGAACAUGUACAAUGUCCUGAUUUUGGUGGCAGCAACAUUACUCCUGAUCAAACAUAUGUGUCUCCCGUUAGAUCAGAUAUUGAUGGAAUAAUUGUUAAUGCAACUGAAAAGAGAAAGAAAAAUAAUGGCAAGAGAAAGAGGAAAUGAGAAUACUACCUACCUUAAUGAAUAUGAAAGAGGGAGAGCAGAAAGAAUUAAGAAAAACAAUAUAGCACUACAAGCUAUAAUUCAAAAGAGAAGGGAGUUGGCUAAAUCAAGCGAGGGAAAUCUCGGGUCUGCUUCUACUCAUCAGGAAACAAGAAAGAGGAAGAGAGUCGAUUGCGCUGGAAGUGAACCAGCUAGACAUGAAUCUGGGUUGCCAAAUCUGUCUAGAUCAACAAGGAGGGGAACAGGGAGUAGUACAAGUACACACGAUGAAGAUGAAGAACUUGUUGCUAAUACAAAUCAUCUAUUCAUGCACGAUUGCGAAAGAAAUGAUGAGCUUGCAGAAAAUGGAGGAAAAAGAAUGGCAAAUGGAGGAGGAAAUGAGAAUACAACCUACGUGAAUGAAUAUGAAAGAUUGAGAGCAGAAAGAAUCAAGAAAAACAAUAUAGCGCUACAAGCUGUCAUUGAAAAGAAAAAGGAGUUGGCUAACUUAAGCGAGGAAAAUCUUGGGUCUGCCUCUACUCAUCAGGAAACAAGAAAGAGGAAGAAGGCACUUGAGGACGCAGUUGAGGAACAUCCGGAGUGGACAGAAAAAAGCAUAACUGAAGGGGACCUUAUGUCACGUGUAUGUGGGCCUGAAAGGAAUGGAUUUGUUCGCUCAGUGGGGAAGGGACCAACACCUAGAGAUUUGGAGAUGCCUGGAAAGGAGAAGUAUAGAUCAACCAAGGUCCAAAUGGCUAUUGAAGGUCAGAAACAAGCUCAACUGGAGAAAGAAGCUCUAAUAGAACAUUUUGAAAGAAGGCAGACACAAAGUGAUAGAAAAAUUGAGUCACUUAGUGAGAAAGUGGAAAGGUUGACUGAAUUACUUCUUGCUGAUUCUCGAGAUGGACGACAAGUGCAUGUUAAUCCCCAAGUCUUGUCAAAUUCUGCAACAAAUGAGGAUGAACAAGAGAGUGCAAAUGGCGAAGCUCAGCCGAGUGAUGAGGAAAACAAUUCCUAUGGAAUGAUACCUCCAAGACCUGCAGCUCCUUCACCGCAAGAACACAUGGCUGGAAAAGAAGUUAUCUUAUACUCGUUUAUUAGACCCCCAUGAUACUCCUGUUGCAAAGGGUACCCUGCUGUCAGCAAAUCGGAUGACUGUAGUGAGUGGCACUCAAUUGGGUCCUGAUUGUUGUGAAGUUGUGGUGAAUCACGUGCUGAAAAGGGCUGCUCCAUUCCUUCGUCCGUAUGGUAACAUGAACUACAUUUCUGAUGCUGUUGGAAGGUCUAUUGCAUGGCCACGACAACAUAUAAAGGAACAACAAAAGUCUCUAGCACAACCUGAAGGUAGCCGUGUUCGUGGUCAAAAUCGGAAGGGCUACUGAAAUUGUUCUGCUAAAGGGUUACUUGUCCCAGAAAUUGUCCAUUGAAGAUUUUUUGCUGAAGUUAUUUCUGAAUGAAGACCUGCUAAAGAUAUCACUUGUCCCAACAACAAAGACCUACAAAAGACCCAUUGUGUAUUUAUAUUAGAAUUUGAAAGAGAUGUCACUUAAAGUUAAUGAAUGCUAAGAAUUAUCUGUACUCAUAUGCAUAUGCUCUAUGCUCUAUGCAGAGGCAUGUAAAUAUUGCUCCUAGGUGCAACAUAAUUGUUACUCAUGAAUUUGUUAUUGCUGAAACUGUGGUAUGGAACCCUACAAUGCAAUGUUUUCUGCAGUGUGUUGAUGUA